GCCUUCGUGCUGUAGUCGUCAGCACACUCGACCCAUAACCGAGAGUUCCAUGGUUCGAUUCCCGGCGAAGGCG
rnacentral:tRNA from 1 species